rnacentral:rRNA from 1 species
GACAGAGGGUGCAAACGUUGUUCGGAAUUACUGGGCGUAAAGCGUGUGUAGGCGGCCAUUCAAGUCGGAUGUGAAAGCCCCGGGCUCAACCCGGGAAGUGCACCCGAAACUGGAUGGCUUGAGUAUCGGAGAGGUUGGUGGAAUUCUCGGUGUAGAGGUGAAAUGCGCAGAUAUCGGGAGGAACACCGGUGGCGAAGGCGGUUCUCUGGGCCUGUACUGACGCUGAGGAGCGAAAGCGUGGGGAGCGAACAGG